GUUUUUUUCCGAAGAAAGUGGCAGAUUUAGACUAAUUAAUUCAAUAAUUCACUUCUUUACUUGUGUAUGUAAAUCAAGUUUACAAAUAGAGGUUCGUUUUAAUAACUUGAUCAUCAAUAUCUAAGUCAUCCAAAAUUAAUUGAAGGGCAAAGAAAAAAAAAGGUUAGACAAUCAUGGCUAGGAUCAAUAUUUGCUUGGGCUCCUUCCUAUUUGUGUUAAUUGUCAUGGCAACCUCUUAUCCGAAGAUGGUAUCUGCUGAGGAUUGUGUUGACAUAAGGUGGAAUCUUGGUGAGGAUUGCUCUCGGUUUUGCAAAGAUAUUUGCAAUUUUGCUACGCCUGGGGAUAUAGGCUCUUGCGCGUCCGACAAUUACUGCUGGUGUUGCAAGAAUCCGCAAGCAACGCAAUGAACUAUUGUAUGCUGGGCUCACGCCGACACAUCUUCAUACGCAUGCACUACUUAUUACUUGUUCUUAAUUUCAUGCCUUCAUGCCUCAAACAGAAAAAGGAAAAAAUUUGUUAGUACUUUUUUGGUCUAUAUGCACGGUCGUACUCGUACACGCAGCAUAUGUAGCAUUCUGGUAUUCUUGGGUCCAAUAACUAUUAUACAUGUUUUGUAUAUCUGAAUUAUGUUUGUAAUAAAUGCUACCGCCACUGUUCUUGUUU